rnacentral:ncRNA from 2 species
AGAGUUAAACAGUACGUGAAAUUGUUGAAAGGGAAACGAUUGAAGCCAGUCGUACCUUCGGGUAAUCAGCCUUUCGGGUGCGAUUCUGUGGAGUGUGAGGAGCUUAACACCUUCAUGCUUUGCAUAUUUGUGCUCUUGGGUGUACUUGCCCGUGUGGUUGGUUAACAUCAAUUUUGGUUAUCAUAAAAUGAUUGGAGGAAUGUAGCUUCGAUCUCGUAUUGAAGUGUUAUAGCCUUCGGUAGAUGUGAUGAUCGAGAUUGAGGAUUGCAACGGAUACCCUUCGGGGCUACCUGUCUGGUCUCUGAUCGUUGCUCUGGUGCCGAAAGCUUGCUUACGGUUAUCAAAGUCGAUGGUCAAUAGGUUAGAACGGGUUAAAUUCGUUAAGGAUGUUGACGUAAUGGCUUUAAACGACC